GGAUUCCCCUAGUAACGGCGAGUGAAGCGGGAUGAGCUCAAAUUUGAAAGCUGGCGCCUCCGGCGUCCGCGUUGUAAUCUCGAGAGGCGUUUUCCGCGCCGGACCAGGUACAAGUCCCUUGGAACAGGGCGUCAUAGAGGGUGAGAAUCCCGUACUUGACCUGGAUGCCCGGUGCUUUGCGAUACGCCCUCAAUGAGUCGAGUUGUUUGGGAAUGCAGCUCAAAACGGGUGGUAAAUUCCAUCUAAAGCUAAAUAUUGGGGAGAGACCGAUAGCGAACAAGUACCGUGAGGGAAAGAUGAAAAGCACUUUGGAAAGAGAGUUAAACAGUACGUGAAAUUGUUGAAAGGGAAGGGCAUGAAGUCAGACAUGCCGGCCGGGACUCAGCCUUGCUUUUGCUUGGUGCAUUUCCUGGUCGGCAGGCCAGCAUCGGUUUUGGCCGCCGGAUAAGGGCGGGAGGAACGUGGCACCCUCGGGUGUGUUAUAGCCUCCUGCUGGAUACGGCGGCUGGGACCGAGGAACGCAGCUCGCCCUCGUGGCAGGCCUUCGGGCACUCUCGAGCUUAGGAUGCUGGCGUAAUGGCUUUAUGCCGCCCGUCUUGAAACACGGACCAAGGAGUCUAACAUGUCUGCGAGUUUUUGGGUGGCAAACCCAUAAGCGUAAUGAAAGUGAAUGCAGGUGGGAUCCGCAAGGAGCACCAUCGACCGAUCCUGAUCUUCUGUGAAGGAUUUGAGUAAGAGCAUAUAUGUUGGGACCCGAAAGAUGGUGAACUAUGCCUGAAUAGGGCGAAGCCAGAGGAAACUCUGGUGGAGGCUCGUAGCGGUUCUGACGUGCAAAUCGAUCGUCAAAUUUGGGUAUAGGGGCGAAAGACUAAUCG
rnacentral:rRNA from 1 species